rnacentral:tRNA from 2 species
GCUUCCAUAGCUCAGUUGGCCAGAGCACGUGAUUUGUAAUCUCGGGGUCGUGGGUUCGAAUCCCUCUGGAAGCUC